rnacentral:rRNA from 1 species
GGAUGACGGCCUUCGGGUGUAAACCUCUUUCAGUAGGGAAGAAGCGAAAGUGACGGUACCUGCAGAAGAAGCGCCGGCUAACUACGUGCCAGCAGCCGCGGUAAUACGUAGGGCGCAAGCGUUAUCCGAAAUUAUUGGGCGUAAAGAGCUCGUAGGCGGUUUGUCGCGUCUGCCGUGAAAGUCCGGGGCUCAACUCCGGAUCUGCGGUGGGUACGGGCAGACUAGAGUGAUGUAGGGGAGACUGGAAUUCCUGGUGUAGCGGUGAAAUGCGCAGAUAUCAGGAGGAACACCGAUGGCGAAGGCAGGUCUCUGGGCAUUAACUGACGCUGAGGAGCGAAAGCAUGGGGAGCGAACAGGAUUAGAUACCCUGGUAGUCCAUGCCGUAAACGUUGGGCACUAGGUGUGGGGGACAUUCCACGUUUUCCGCGCCGUAGCUAACGCAUUAAGUGCCCCGCCUGGGGAGUACGGCCGCAAGGCUAAAACUCAAAGGAAUUGACGGGGGCCCGCACAAGCGGCGGAGCAUGCGGAUUAAUUCGAUGCAACGCGAAGAACCUUACCAAGGCUUGACAUGAACCGGUAAGACCUGGAAACAGGUCCCCCACUUGUGGCCGGUUUACAGGUGGUGCAUGGUUGUCGUCAGCUCGUGUCGUGAGAUGUUGGGUUAAGUCCCGCAACGAGCGCAACCCUCGUUCCAUGUUGCCAGCGCGUUAUGGCGGGGACUCAUGGGAGACUGCCGGGGUCAACUCGGAGGAAGGUGGGGACGACGUCAAAUCAUCAUGCCCCUUAUGUCUUGGGCUUCACGCAUGCUACAAUGGCCGGUACAAAGGGUUGCGAUACUGUGAGGUGGAGCUAAUCCCAAAAAGCCGGUCUCAGUUCGGAUUGGGGUCUGCAACUCGACCCCAUGAAGUCGGAGUCGCUAGUAAUCGCAGAUCAGCAACGCUGCGGUGAAUACGUUCCCGGGCCUUGUACACACCGCCCGUCAAGUCACGAAAGUUGGUAACACCCGAAGCCGGUGGCCUAACCCCUUGUGGGAGGGAGGCUUUUAGAAGAGAGUGUCAGA